rnacentral:rRNA from 1 species
GCCUGUGACCAAAUCAGCCUGAAUGCGUCAGUUGUUAUCCGACCUCGGAAACGAAGCAAGCGUUGAGCCUGGUAACUACUUAAAUGAGAGACCACAAGCACGUGCCACGUGUUGUAGGCU